rnacentral:lncRNA from 1 species
UGAGGCCUGACCUAGGUUUCUUGAGGUACUGAGGGUCUGACCUAAGUCUGUUGGAGGUCUGAUGGGUUGACCUAGGUCUGUUGGAGGUGUCAGAGCGGCUGACCUCGGUCUGUUGGAGGUUGCUGAGGGGCUGACCGAGGUUCUGUUGGAGGCUGAGGGGCUGACCUAGGUCUGUUGGAGUCUGAGGGGCUGACUAGUCGGUUUGGAGGUCUGAGGGGCUGACCUAGGACUGUGGAAAGUCUGAGGGGCUGACCUAGGUCUGUGGAGGUCGAGGUGUGAGGGGCUGAUAUCUAGGUCUGAGGGGCUGACCUAGGUCUGUUGGAGGUCUGAUUGGGCUGACCUAGGUCUCUUGGAGGUAUCUGAGGGGCUGACCAGGUCGCUUGAGGUAUCUGAGGGCUGACCUAGGUCUGUUUGAGGUCGAUGGGUUGACCU